rnacentral:rRNA from 1 species
GACGAACGCUGGCGGCGUGCUUAACACAUGCAAGUCGAACGGAAAGGCCCUGCUUUUGUGGGGUGCUCGAGUGGCGAACGGGUGAGUAACACGUGAGUAACCUGCCCUUGACUUUGGGAUAACUUCAGGAAACUGGGGCUAAUACCGGAUAUGAUCUCCUGCUGCAUGGUGGGGGUUGGAAAGUUUCGGCGGUUGGGGAUGGACUCGCGGCUUAUCAGCUUGUUGGUGGGGUAGUGGCUUACCAAGGCUUUGACGGGUAGCCGGCCUGAGAGGGUGACCGGGCAAAUGGGGACUGAGAUACGGCCCAGAAGGCUACGGGAGGCAGCAGGGGGGAAUAUUGCAAAAGGGGAGGAAGCCUGAUGCAGCAAAGCGGCGUGCGGGAUGACGGCCUUCGGGUUGUAAACCGCUUUCGCCUGUGACGAAGCGUGAGUGACGGUAAUGGGUAAAGAAGCACCGGCUAACUACGUG